UUGUCUUCUAGAUGUGCCAAAGCUAUCUCGAUCUUCAUAUCUUAUUGAGAUGUUUUUUGCUGCCACUGCCUGGACUCUUUUAUUGUUGCACGUUUUAAACCAACCACUAAAUUCUAAAAAAUCAAAAUGUAAAGCAAUUACAAUAGGACUUGGCUUGUGUUUCGGACUGUUAGCUGCUGCACUAGCGGAUUUCCAAAAACUGAUUAUGUGGAACAGAAGCAUUUUAUUAAUUCUCAGUGUGCCAAAUCUGAUUAUCGGAGUUACAGUUGGACUUUUUCCUAACAGAUUCCUAGAUUGCUUAGACAUGUGAAGCUGAUAAAAAAUAAUUAUUAUAUGCACAACAUUGUGAAAUAUGCAUUCGAAAAAAAAAAAUCAAAGACUGUGAUAUUGUUGGGAUCAAUUCAAUAAGAUCAAAAUAAAAGUUUAGUGUUAGCUGUUU